UAAUAUUAAUACAAUUAAAUGGGUGCUUUUGAAUUAGGCUUCAGCAGUGCACCCUAAUGGUUUGAAACACGAGCUGUGUCCAUGCUUCUCCUUCGGGGGGAGGGAGGAGGAUGCGGAACCGGGACAAUUGGACCUUUUUCUCGUCAGUAUCUCUCGCCGCCCGCAGUAUUUCAUCAGGAAAUAUGGUACACGCUGCAGAUAAAACAAACAAUCCCUGGUCCCUGAGCACAUUGUCGUUUCCCCUUGGGCCCAUUAUCAGAUCCCCUCUGUAGGCUCCCAGCAGCUGCAGUUAUUGUGGAAGUCUCUACUUUUAUAGCCCCAUGAUGUCUGUGACAACACUGGCUUUUAUGACGGACCCAUUCCUCACGAGGUGCUCCACUUGCUGAAGCAGAGACUUGGCCUGAACGACAGCGGCGUCGAGCUGCAAGUGGACGGAAAUAGGCAAAUCCCAAGUGCAAUUUGUAGCGGGGAGCUUCUGUUGGGGAGCGGGGCCGCAGUCCGUCUCUCUGCUCUCUGGUGCCCUCAGCGGCGACAGUCGACCCUGGUACCGGGCGACGCGUUUGCUAGCGUGGAAGGUAAAGUUUGCUUUGGAUGUCGGUUGUGGACUUGUGGUACUGCAGUUGUAGUAGUGAGAGGAAGAGGAGAGUCGGGCAGUUCUGUACACGGUGGCACGACUGCGAUUUGGAUUGAGGCAAUGAUCACAACAUCUAUUAACCGCGAUCUACUGUUGCAGAAGACUUCAGCCUGAUCACGUCUUCGUUUUAAAAGGGACUUCGGGAACAAACGUGAAGCUAGAGAGGAAUUUCACACCGCAGAGCUUUUGCACUCCUUCAUUUUUAUGCUUUUCUCCACAGGGAUUACGUGUUCUGAGCCUAACAACAAAAUAUGAUACAGAAAGCCAUUUAACUCAUUGCAUAGUGACAUAAAAACAUCAUCAUAGAAAUAAAAUAAAAUGACAAAGACGACCUAUGUGAUGU
rnacentral:lncRNA from 1 species